rnacentral:rRNA from 1 species
UAGGGAAUAUUGGUCAAUGGAUGGAAGUCUGAACCAGCCAUGCCGCGUGCAGGAAGAAGGCCUUCUGGGUUGUAAACUGCUUUUGCCAGGGGAUAAAAUGGCUAUGCGUAGCUAAUUGAAGGUACCUGGUGAAUAAGCCACGGCUAACUACGUGCCAGCAGCCGCGGUAAUACGUAGGUGGCAAGCGUUGUCCGGAUUUAUUGGGUUUAAAGGGUGCGUAGGCGGCUUUGUAAGUCAGUGGUGAAAUAUCGCAGCUUAACUGUGAGGGUGCCAUUGAUACUGCAGAGCUUGAGUACAGAUGAGGUAGGCGGAAUUGACGGUGUAGCGGUGAAAUGCUUAGAUAUCGUCAAGAACACCUAUAGCGAAGGCAGCUUACUAGGCUGUAACUGACGCUGAGGCACGAAAGUGUGGGGAUCAAACAGG